GCUUGUUUAGUUUAGUAAAAUGUGGGUCUCCAAAACCAAUUUCGUAGGUUCAAGUCCCAUAGAGCGUG
rnacentral:tRNA from 1 species